UAAUUUUUGAAAACGUCCUACAUAGAAACAUUUUUUUUUUUGAAGAAUUAAUCUCCCCCAAGGGUGGAGUAAGAUGGUCAUAAAUUCUUUACUCCUUCUCACACUGAAAGUUGGAGGCUAUUUUCUCUCCCCUUCGGUCUGAGCUGAGAUUUGUCGGGACCAGUAAAAUGUUUCGGAAAUGAUGCUGUAAUUUCCGAGUCUGGGACUUAAGAGAUCUGUGGCUUCAGUGUUUACCAAUUCGUGUUAAUUCCUCUCGAAAGUCCGACUACCCCGUGACCACCACGCUGUGAGGAAACUCUGCUGACCAUGCGGCACCAGACUUCUUAAGAUUUCUGGCCCAGCCUCUGCUACUGAAUGCCCCCAAGUGAAUGACACCAACCGACGACACGUGGAUUAAAAUAUCUGCCCAGACGAGCUCAAGUUCCUGACAGAGAACGCUGCCACGUCACCAGCACAGAUACAGAGUCCAAUGAUGAGGUCCAUGUGUGAGGAACUGAGGUAUGUCCUACCAGCAGCCACGAGAGAGAGCCACCUAGGGGGGCAGAUCCUUCAGCCCUAGGCACACCUUCAGAUGACUGCAGCCCCAGCUGACAUCUUGACUGCAACCUCAGGAGGCAUCUUGAGCCAGAACCACCCAGCUAAGCCACUCCCACAUCGCUGGCUCUCAGAAACUGGUGGAUAAUAAAUAUGUUACUGUUUUAA